GACGAACGCUGGCGGCGUGCCUAAUACAUGCAAGUCGAACGCAGUGGGGACGGGUGAGUAACACGUGGGUAACCUCCCAUCAGAGGGGAUAACACUUGGAAACAGGUGCUAAACUGAUACUGAUGGAUGGACCCGCGGUGCAUUGGCUAGUUGGGGAGGUAACGGCUCACCAAGGCCACGAUGCAUAGCCGACCUGGGAGGGUGAUCGGCCACACUGGGACUGAGAAACGGCCCAGGCUCCUACGUGAGGCAGCAGUAGGGAAUCUUCGGCAAUGGGCGAAAGUCUGACCGAGCAACGCCGCGUGAGUGUAGAAGGUUUUCGGAUCGUAAAACUCUGUUGUUAGAGAAGCGGUAUCUAACCAGAAGGCAACGGCUAACUACGUGCCAGCAGCCGCGGUAAUUC
rnacentral:rRNA from 1 species